rnacentral:rRNA from 2 species
CCUGGGGAGUACGGCCGCAAGGUUAAAACUCAAAUGAAUUGACGGGGGCCCGCACAAGCGGUGGAGCAUGUGGUUUAAUUCGAUGCAACGCGAAGAACCUUACCUGGUCUUGACAUCCACAGAACUUUCCAGAGAUGGAUUGGUGCCUUCGGGAACUGUGAGACAGGUGCUGCAUGGCUGUCGUCAGCUCGUGUUGUGAAAUGUUGGGUUAAGUCCCGCAACGAGCGCAACCCUUAUCCUUUGUUGCCAGCGGUCCGGCCGGGAAC